rnacentral:rRNA from 1 species
AUUGGACGCUGGCGGCAGGCCUAACACAUGCAAGUCGAGCGGAUGAAGGGAGCUUGCUCCUGGAUUCAGCGGCGGACGGGUGAGUAAUGCCUAGGAAUCUGCCUGGUAGUGGGGGAUAACGUCCGGAAACGGGCGCUAAUACCGCAUACGUCCUGAGGGAGAAAGUGGGGGAUCUUCGGACCUCACGCUAUCAGAUGAGCCUAGGUCGGAUUAGCUAGUUGGUGGGGUAAAGGCCUACCAAGGCGACGAUCCGUAACUGGUCUGAGAGGAUGAUCAGUCACACUGGAACUGAGACACGGUCCAGACUCCUACGGGAGGCAGCAGUGGGGAAUAUUGGACAAUGGGCGAAAGCCUGAUCCAGCCAUGCCGCGUGUGUGAAGAAGGUCUUCGGAUUGUAAAGCACUUUAAGUUGGGAGGAAGGGCAGUAAGCUAAUACCUUGCUGUUUUGACGUUACCAACAGAAUAAGCACCGGCUAACUUCGUG